rnacentral:rRNA from 1 species
AUACGGGGGGAGCAAGCGUUGUCCGGAAUCAUUGGGCGUAAAGGGCACGUAGGCGGUUUCUUAAGUCGAAUGAGAAAUCUCACGGCUCAACCGUGAAACUGCGUUCGAAACUAAGUGACUUGAGUUUGGGAGAGGUGUACGGAAUUCCUGGUGUAGCGGUGGAAUGCGUAGAUAUCAGGAAGAACACCAAUGGCGAAGGCAGUACACUGGCCUGAAUCUGACGCUGAGGUGCGAAAGCGUGGGGAGCAAACAGGAUUAGAAACCCCGGUAGUCC